AACGAACGCUGGCGGCAGGCCUAACACAUGCAAGUCGAACGCGCCCUCCGGGGUGAUCUGCGGUGGGGUGAGUAACGCCGGGGAACGUGCCCUUUUCUACGCAAUCGCCUCGUUAAAGAGAGAUUAAUACCGCAUAGGCCCUUUGGGGGUAGGAGUUCUCGGCAAAGGAUCGGGGCGGGUUGGAUUAGGUAGUUGGGGGGGGAAUGGCAUACCAAGCGGUCGAUCCAUGGCUGGUUGGAUAGCAUGGCCAGCCACACUGGGCCUGCGACACGGCCCAGACUCGUACGCAAGGGAGCAGUAGGGAAUAUUAGACAAUGGAGGCAACCCUGAUCUCGCCAUGCCGCGUGAGUGAGGAAGGCCUUAGGGUUGCAAAGCUCUCUCAGCUGGGAAGAGAAUGACGGUACCGGCAGAAGAAGCCCCGGCUAACUCCGUG
rnacentral:rRNA from 1 species